CUUGUCCUGGGGCACAACCCUGAACCUGGAUUUUAACAAAUAUUCCAGAUGGUUUAAUUGCCAGGGCAGGUUUUACUCCACCGCGUGGCUUCACACAUCAGGCCCAGAAUGCCAGCACACAGUGGCAGCAAAGUCCUAGACACGGGCCCAGGAUGCCUUCUCCCCACUGAAGCUUACUCGGAAGAGCACGACAGGACUGCCUGCCUGCUGGGUGGUGACUCAGGCGUGUGGGGAGCUAAACAGGGCCAUUUCUGGCCUGAGGAGGGUGCCCCCAAGGAGCAGCAGCUGCCGUUCUGGAAGCUUAGCCCAACAGAGGUGGGGCUUCUGGCUACAGGAAAGAUGGAACUUGAAGUGGAGCCAGAGGCAAGAGCUGGCCCAAAUAGGUCCUGAGAGGUGGCUAUAAAGCCUGGGAGAAAGGAAAGGUCAAGGUUCUAGGCAGCAGGGGCCAUCCUAAGCAAUGAAGCCUCAAAGUAUGAAGGAGGCCGUGCUAAACUGGCAAGAACUCUUUGGCCACAGAGCCUCCUGGAAAGGUUUGUGUUUUCAUAACCAGUUGGAGCCCCAGAGCAUCUGAAAAUAUGUUACUCUUACUCAUUUGCGACAGUGGGUCUCAACCAGAGGUGGUUUCACCCCCACCUCCCCCCGGAACAUUUGACACUAUCUGGAGACAUUCUGUGUGCCACACCAGUGGGUGGAGGCCAGGGAAGCUGCUGGACACCCUGUAAAACCCAGGACAUCCCCCACCACAAAGAACUACCCAGCCCAAAAGGUCAAUAGAGCUGGGGUGGAGAAACCCUGCUCUGCGUGGCAUCACUACAGGAAUCCAUCCUUUGGGGAAAUCCAUAUCUGAGAUGCCCAUGAUAUGUCCUGGUUUCUCUCCACCCACAGACAGGCACACACAUGAGGCCCCCCCACCCACUCCGGAGGGCAGGUAGGCCUGGAACCGGGCACCAAGCAUGCAAGCGUAUGCCCACCACUAUGUAUCAUAGCAGAUUUUAUUAAAAGAGAAGAUAAACAGCAACAUGUUUUGUAAUAGGCAACAACAGGCAUUAAAGUCCGCUGGCUUCACACCCCUGUGUCCCCGCUGCACCCACACCCUGUACUGUCACUGCCCACAGUGAUGGUUCUGCACUGUCACAGGCAUGGAACAAGCACCUUUACCACCAUUACCUCCCAUGCCAGACACCAGGACUCCACUCAUUCGAUUUCCAGCAGGCAAAUCUGAUGUCUUUUGCAAACCAAGUGCCUCAAAGCAGGGUUAGGCUGGGGGAUUGGGGAGGGGGGGCGUUGCUUCUCUCAGAGGAGCCAAUUCACUUUCUUUCUGAGCUACUCACUUCAGAGAGGGCAGCUGUGCUCUCUCACCCUGAUCCUGGUACAUCUCAUACCUCUCAGUAAGUGUGGGCAUCUGUGUCCCCAACGCACUGCUCCAACCUGCUCAGAACAAGCACCCCACUUUCUCCCAACUCAUCUCAUUUAUUCAGUUCACCGAGGCGCUCAAGAGCAUCUCCCCUAACAUAUCAGGGGACAUGGGUCCCCUACAUCUCUCAAAGUGUCCUUUAAAGGGCAUGGCAGGAACAGACAGGUGAAAGCUCAGAAUCUUCACUCUCUCCGAGCAAGGCACUGCCAGCUUUCUUUCCUCACUUGAAACAACCCUAUUUGUUAUUUUGAGCCAUGACUGGGAUGACACUUAUGACAUAUAGCAAAGCAGGAAUUAUCUUUGGGAGCAGAAAGACGAAGACAUACUGUGAGUCUGAUAAGAUAAAAGCGGCCACAGAUAAAAGCAUUUAUAAAGGAAAAUGAUGGCUAUCUGCCAAACAGGAGCAAGGAAACUCACCCACCAAACACAAAGAAAUGAAAAGAAGUCAAGCCAAAUUCUGUAACGGGCUGCAUGCUAGCAUCCUUCCCUGCAAGACAACUCAGCAAUAGGAGAGAACAUGGAAGGGGAUGUUGGGUGAUGGGGUCUGGGGACACUGUGUGACCUUGGACAGCAGCUUCCUGUGGAGAGAAAGGAAGGGAAGUCACUGGUGUACCUCUCAGCAUCAUGGUGAUGUUUAAGUGAGCGGAUGCAGGUCACAACGCUGGGCGUGCUGGGAAGCAUCAGAUAUGUAAGGCAUGGGUUCUCAAGACGGUCACAUAUGGAAGUUGCUUAGGAGAGCUGCUAAAAAAUACAGAUUCUGGGCCCAAACUCCAGAGAUGCUGAUUUAGGAGGUUUGAGCUGGGGCCCAGGAAUCUGGAUUUUGGACAAGUGCUACAGAUGAAAUAGGAAGCCUCUAACAACCCUAUGAGGUAGAUAUUGUUACGAUCUCCAUUUUACACGUGAGGAAACUGAGGCAAAGCUAGUUUGUGGUAGAGCCAGCUCCCAAGAGAUCUUGGACUCAAGAAAUGAGAAAAGAGGUUGUCCAGAUCUGGGCUGGGACUCCCGUCCCUGCCCCCUCCUCUAAAGCAGCCAACAGAGUGGCAGCCCAUUCCCAGAAAGAUCAGAAAUGCUGUUUCUCUGAAUCUUUUGAGCUUCAAGCAAGCAAAUAUGCCUAAAACAGGUGUAAGCAGACACUCAUGAAUGAUACAGACAAAGGAAGAGGGAAGGAGGGAACGGCCACAUUAAAAAUUAUAACCUACAUCAAGUUUGUGCUUCUCUAGAUCACUCUGAAUAUUCACUGGGAUAAAAUAUGCUCUAAAAUAUGUCAAUGCCAAGGUGAUUAAAACGCCAUUCUGUACCCAUCAGUGUACAGAGAGGAGAGGGAACAGCAGCCAGGAUGUCAAGUUUUCAGAAAACAAUACAAAAUGAAUAAGUAGAGUUACAAAACCCAGAAUCAUCAAAUGUUAGAGUUGCAUGUACCUCUGGGAGUUAUCUUGAUUCUCCCCUUUAUUUGACUGAGAAGAAAACUGAGAUUUGGUGAGGGCAGGUGCUGUGGCUGGGCGUCAGAGGGCAGCCCCAAAGCCGGGGUUCUGACCCCUACUCUGGUUCUCAUUUUGCUCUAUAUGCUGCCCUUGUGAAACUUGAAAGGAACCGAAGUCCUUAAUGUAGCACUCCUUCCAAACUCCUUGAAUGGCUCCAAAGCCAGGGUUGGUGCGGCAGCACCAGAAGGACCGAAGGGAGGUGAGAAGAGGCAGCCAGCCACAGACUCAGUAAAUAAGAGUCUCGGACAUAAUCACUGUGCAGAGAAGUCCCAGCUCUCCAGCUCCCUCAGAGAGUCAGAAACAGAGAGGACAAGUGACUGAAUGGAAGGGACCCUGAAGAAGGCUCCCUAGGAUGGGUCAGGGGGUGUGGGCAUGUCAGCUCGCCUCUCACUGCCUUCCUGCCUUGGGUACCCAGGGACGCUACCAGAAAAUAACUUCUCUGAGGCACAAGCUGCAGUGGCCGGAAGUAGAGGUGGAAUUUCAGGCAGGAUUCAGUUGUGAUUUUUCCUCCAGCUCAAAACCUUCACAGGGGCCCUUGGCCAAGCAUCCCAGAUCCACCAUGGUCUGCCUGUACCCUGCCCAUCAAUUUUAUUUUCUACCACUGCCCUGAUGUCAGCACCCAUCCUAUACUUUGGAUUAUUCUGCCCAACCGAUAGACACCCUGGGAAAAGUGCCAGUGACAGCCCGAGAGGCCAGCCCAGACAUAGCCCUUGGCAGUGGAGGAGGAAGAAUUUCCAGGCUAUAGGGAGCAGUCCUGCGGGGGAAGACAGGCCUGAGCAAGGAAGCAUGCACCAGGACUUCCAAAUCCCAUCAGCAGGCUCACCUCUACACAUGACACCACCAUUAUAGUGACAUCAACAAUGGAGAGGCAUGGCCCAGCCCCCAGCCCUGAGCUGGGUCCUCUAGUGACCAGAGUAGUCAAGGCCAGCUGGAGAGCAAGCAUUGCCCUGAGCUGUGGCAAGAGCAGUGUCUGGCCAUAGAGGACAAGAUGGAAGGACCAGAAUUUCUGGUUUCCUUUCCACAAAGAGAUUGGAACCAAGAUUACUAUCAUAGAAUGAGUAAACCCUGAGGCUUAUCACAAGAAUGAGGGAUCCUGGGAGCAAAAACAGACAUAAUCUCAAUAGUGGAAGAUAAAAGAAAUGUGAGCUUAUCUUCUACUCAAACCGGUAAUGCAGUGGUGACCCUGCCAUUGAAGUUAUAGCCACCCGCUGGUUCUGGCUUUAACUUUGCUUCAACCAACUUGCAAUAAACUGGAGAUCAUCAAGGUAUUUACCAGGAAAAUCAUCCACUGGGUAACCUACUAUGCAUCAGGCUUACAAAAUUGUCUUUAUUUCCUGAACAGAACAGGAUGUGUGAAGAUACCAAAAAGAAUGAUCGCCCUGCCAUUUCCAGGUUGGCUGCAGGAACUGUGGAACUUUCUAGCUUUUUCCACUCAGACAAUGGAAAGGAGAGAUUUUAGGAUUGGUGACCAAGACUGUCAGGUGUCAGCCCCCGCAAACUGCUUGGAAUCUGGAGGACCAUGUUAACUACACCCUCCUGAAAGGGGAAAGGUCACAGCCCUGCAGUUUGAAAAACACAGCACUAAAAGUUUCCAAGUUAACCUUCCAAGUUGACGUUCCAGAGGCUGAUGUUUAGUACCUGGGCAGGUUAAAGAGAAGGUGAAGCGAAGGGCAUCUGCUCCAAUAUGCACGGCAUUGAGAGUUUAGAGGCUCAAGAAGUUGAUUCUAAUAGGACUGAGCAUCUCAAGGGAGCACCACGUGUUCCUUCCAGCCACUAACCUGCUCCACACUCCCCAGGCUGGUUUUCCUUCCUGGCAGGAAUGCACAUUUGAUAGGAAAUGUGGGUUCCAAGGAAAUAAAGCAGACUUUGACCUCCACAAAUGCACAGA